AGAUUAAUAGCUUCGAAACAAACCCAUUUCCUUAUUCUGCUUCAGCUUGUACUCAAGAGCAACACCGGCUUCUAAAUCUCACCCAGGGCUAAGCAGAUUCAUUUCACUACUACUUCUCCAUUGCUCUACCAACACCGAGUUCCUGCAAAUCUUCUUAGCUCCUAAAACCGCAAUCCAACAAUCUCAAAGCAACAAACCCAUGGAACCCUCGAAUUCUUCUUACUGUUCUCAGAUUCAACUGCUCCACACCCAUAGUUCCAACUGUUUGUUUUCUUCCUUGUAAACCCAACAGUAGCAGUAACUCCAUCCCAGGUUCAGCUUCAGCUGCAUUACCUUCUCUUCUUCUCAGUCCACCAACUAAAACCUACAAAACCAACGGAACAAAACAAUUUUCAUUGACUCAAGAAAUCGGCUCAAAUCCUAACCAUCAAAUUUAUCUCAAUUUCUUCAUUCUCUGCUCUUGGAGAUGCCGAUUCCUGAGCAGGUGCAAGCUUGUCUAGCAUGGGUGGCAAUGACGCUCAACCACUUGGUUGCCUGGGAGCAAUCACCAAUCUAACUCCUUUAAAAUCCUAAACUCCUUAGAUUCCACGUUGAACGGUGACCGUUCCCCUCUCACAGAAUUGAUCCGUUUCACUUCUCCUCAAAAGGAAAGAAAAACAAAAUUUUUCUUCACAAAAUAAAGAAAUUUCUUUAUUCAUCCCGAAAAAAGAAAACGAAAAACAAUCGAGAGAAAAAAAAAUAAAAAAGAUCUUCUUCGUCUUCUUCCUUCUUCUCCUCUAUUCUCCCCUAUCCACUGCAAAAAAAAAAAUCUUUCUCCAUGGCGUCUCUUUUCUUCUCCGUUCCUUAUUUUUCAAGUUCUUUUUGAGAAGGAAGACUAUUGCAGGUACGAUUUUACUGAAACGGAUAGUUUUGAUCUAUUCUGCAGGUACGAUUUUUAUUGAAACAGAUACACCACAAAAUCCCAUUCUCUUUUGGUAAAUUCUAACCAUAUUCUUCAUUGAUCCUUUUCUUAUUAAUUCUUUGUAUAUUUUGGUCCAAUUGAUGACUUUGUUAUAAAUAUUGUUUGUUUGCUGGAAUUUGGACAAUGUACCCAAAUCCAAAUCGCUUAAGCUCUUUAUUAAAAUCCAAAGACACAAAUAAGAGCAGCAUAAUUAUAACAUUUUUUUGAUUGAUUUCAUCUUUUAAUCCAAGUAAAUCGAGAUGAUCACUGAGAAAACAUUGAGAAGCAUUGCAAGUCCUCGGUUUGUAAUAAUUUCCAUUGUAUGUAUAAGCAAUUGUUUCUUCACUGCCGUAUAUAACGAUCUUACUCCAAUCUUUGUCUAUCUAAUAAUGUCUAUAAAAGGUUGGCAAGGAAAGGCAAGGCUUUUAAAGACUUGGAAGUAUGGAAACCUUAAAACCAACGAGCUACAUGGAAUGAAUAUGAAUGAACUUAAUGGAUGAUAAAAUGGAUCGACCUGAAGGUAACUUUGUGCGAAAAUGGAGCAAAUCAGUAGAGUGGGAGGUGACAAACGAACAUGGAAGCGCGCCGAUAAUUGUUAUAGUCACUGCAACGUUCGUGAAAGAGGUUCAAGGUGCUCAGAAAGAAAGGGGAUAUGGUCAUAUAGAUGCCAUGACAUAUGCCUUGCUUGAGGUUUAUUACACAAGUUUGUCGUUGACAUAUAUGGAGUGCUUCAAUGGAAGGUUGAACUUUUGAUAUCUGCAGCAAAACCUACUUCAGCAAUAGUUCUUUGCUUCAACUGAAAGGCUGAAGGUUGUUAGACAAAUGAUAAUGACUGGAGCGCUGGAACACAGAAAAGUUGCAUAGGACUUGCAUUUGCCCUACCAGCUAUCUAACUUGAAUGGGAUCUUCAUAUCUUAAAAGUCUAUUGUUGUUACUUAAAAUUCUUAAAAGUCUGUCUGUUACUUAGAAAUAUGAAGUCCUAGAUCUGCCAAGUCUAUUGCUGGACUGAAAAUUUUUCUCAUGUAAUGCAGGAAGCAUUUUGGAGGGUGUAUGAAUGGAAGUUCAUGAAUUGCCUUGAGUUUUGAACAAGUGUUGUCUGUGCAUACAGUUCUGAACCUGACUUCCGGCCCUUGGCUUAUCUCUUUGCACAAUCACGUUGCUGCUUCUUUGGGUACUUUCAUUCCUGAAUUUUUACUGACGAUGAACAACCAUCCAGAUUAAAGCGUACUACGGAUUCUGGUGAUGAUGUCCAUGCGGUUUCUGGAAUUGAUGCGCAGUUACUCAUUAAGAAAUUAAUGCACACACUAUGAAAUUUGAAUAACACAUUAGUAGUUUGUUCUUUUCCCUAUUUUUAUAACUUAUGUGGUAGUUCAAUUAGUUAGGACAGCCAAUACAUUAGGUUCCAUGUUUAUUAAUGCUUGCACUGUGAAGUGCAACUAUCAUUCAUCUAUUGCAGUCCAAUUAUUCUGUCA